GAGCAAAAAAUACGAGGUGUGUGUGUGUGUGUGUCCUUGGCAGUGCAGUGAUGAGCCAUUCGAAAGCUUGGACGAGUCACAGCUAAUGAGUUGCGGCUCAUGACGUCAUCGCCUGGCACCACUACUCUUUUCCAAGCAUGCGCAUGGCCCCUGUGCGCACUGUUAUCUGAUGCCCGGCUGCUGGGGAGAUGCUGGGCGACUUGGCUCGCGUGCCGACAGAGGGGGCUCUGCGUGCCCGCUGUGCCCCGCGUGCCAUCGGUCGCCACCACUGAGUUGCAGCUUCUGGUGCUGUAUCCUGAAGCCGCUUGCCGUGCUUUUUUCUGCUGCAUUCAGCAAGCUCUUGGCUGCUGUUUUGCAGCCAAGUAACAAGACCCCAUCCUUCGGCUGGAAGUCUUUCUCUCCUGCACCGAGGUGGACGGCCUCCUUAACACAGGAGCUGGGAUAACGGGCGUCUCGUGCAAGGCUGCAGCUCAGCGGCUCCUUUGAGAAAAGGAUUCACUUCCAGCGUGUGCCAUGUCUCCCACACGUCGGCCACCUUUCCCUUCCGUGCAGAGUGAGGGCGGAAAACAGCCGAGCUCCUUCCUGCUCCCCGUGUCCUUUAUGCUGCUAUGUCUAGUUCGCUGCACUCCUUGUGAGCAAAACCAUCGCCUCGAUUUUCUGGGAACUGGCCCUUUGAAUCCUGGCCCUUUCCUCAUGGUGUGCUCUGCCCCAGUCGCUCAGCCUCAGGGCAGGCCCACCUUUUGCUUGGCUGUAGGCCAAGCGAGUGCUCCACAGACAAUCGGGCUCCCCGUGGGUUGCUUGCCCCUCCUCUUUCUUGCAGGAGGGGUCCGGCAACAUCCACUGGUCUCCCCUUUCCCAUCACAACCGGGAGCGGUUUUCAGCUUUCGGUCACUUCACCUGUUAUCUUUUUUCACAGAUUGCAGAGUUCAAGCAGAGACCUUUCAAAGUGCCCCUCUAUCAAAUGGAGGUUCGCCUACUCAGUGUGGACGGCGAAUGACAACAGAUGACGAAGAAAAGGCGAAGGGCUCAGCUGCUACUGUGGCUCCGUCUUCUCCCAAAAGCUCCUCUGAUGAAGGGGAAAUCCAACACUGCAGGAGCAAGAAGGCAGCGCAAGACUGAUAGGAACGGUACGGAUCAUCCAACUGGGCCGAAUGAGUUCAGCUCCGGAGCCCGACGACCCCCACGCUGGCGGAAGAGCUCUCAGAGCCACCGGCUGCUCUCUCCGAGAAAUCAUGGAGGACGGUCAGAGGACGAGCCAGAUGACUGGGGGAAAGAUCACGUUGCCCCGUCUUCAGAAGAGGCGAAAAAGAAGAACCUGGGAACGACAGACCAGUCCGUCUGGCAUCCAUUCCUGGGAAAAGUCUGGAGCAGAUUGCAAAGCAGACAGUUUGCAAACACCCUGAAAACAAUGCAGGGAAUACGAGGAGCCAGCAUGGAUUCCUCAAGAACAAAUCCUGCCAGGCAGAUGGGAUCUCGUUUUUGUUAUGUCCCACGGUUUUACAGAGGAGAUUAGAGACCAGUUGGUAUUUUCAAGAGAAGGUUUAUUUCCUAUAGGGACGACACUCUCCCACAAGGAUGGGAUGAGUGCCGCGCAUUUUAGAGGGACAACAGAGUAUUUAUACCUUGUUAGAAGCAAAGGGAGAAUUGUUCUUGACAGCCUACACAAGCCAGCUGGCAUGAUAUAGAGGCGAGACGGUUUUGCAGUUCUGAUACAGAAAGCGGCGCGUCCUUGCAGUUAGUUUAUCUUCUGAUAAGAGCGGAGAGGCUCUACAGCUGGUCUAUCUUUUUAAGUUUUUACCCCUUUGAUUAAACUUGCCUAUUUGCUAAAAUAA